UAGCAUAGUGGUUAAGUGCUAUGGCUGCUAACCAAAAGGUCAGUGGUUCAAAUCCACU
rnacentral:tRNA from 1 species